rnacentral:rRNA from 1 species
CUACGUGCCAGCAGCCGCGGUAAUACGGAAGGUCCAGGCGUUAUCCGGAUUUAUUGGGUUUAAAGGGAGCGUAGGCUGGAGAUUAAGUGUGUUGUGAAAUGUAGACGCUCAACGUCUGAAUUGCAGCGCAUACUGGUUUCCUUGAGUACGCACAACGUUGGCGGAAUUCGUCGUGUAGCGGUGAAAUGCUUAGAUAUGACGAAGAACUCCGAUUGCGAAGGCAGCUGACGGGAGCGCAACUGACGCUUAAGCUCGAAGGUGCGGGUAUCAAACAGGAUUAGAUACCCUGGUAGUCCGCACAGUAAACGAUGGAUGCCCGCUGUUGGUACCUGGUAUCAGCGGCUAAGCGAAAGCAUUAAGCAUCCCACCUGGGGAGUACGCCGGCAACGGUGAAACUCAAAGGAAUUGACGGGGGCCCGCACAAGCGGAGGAACAUGUGGUUUAAUUCGAUGAUACGCGAGGAACCUUACCCGGGCUUGAAUUGCAGAGGAAGUAUUUAGAGAUA